rnacentral:rRNA from 1 species
UACGUAGGGGGCAAGCGUUGUCCGGAAUUAUUGGGCGUAAAGAGCGCGUAGGCGGUCCGAUAAGUCGGCUGUGAAAGUCAGGGGCUCAACCCUUGGAAGCCGGCCGAUACUGUCGGACUAGAGUCCGGAAGAGGCGAGUGGAAUUCCCGGUGUAGCGGUGAAAUGCGCAGAUAUCGGGAGGAACACCAAUGGCGAAGGCAGCUCGCUGGGACGGUACUGACGCUGAGGCGCGAAAGCGUGGGGAGCAAAGCA